rnacentral:rRNA from 1 species
AGUCGACUGCGUGCUUGCACGCAGGGCGAACGGGUGAGUAACACGUUGGAAACUACCCUUAAGUGAGGGAUAACCCCGAGAAAUAGGGGAUAAUACCGCAUAUGCCUUUCGAGGCAAAGCUUUAUGCGCUUAAGGAGGUGCCUGCGGGCUAUCAGCUUGUUGGUGAGGUAAUGGCCCACCAAGGCGACGACGGCUAGCUGGUCUGAGAGGACGACCAGCCACAGGGGGACUGAGACACGGCCCCCACUCCUACGGGAGGCAGCAGUGAGGAAUUUUGCGCAAUGGACGAAAGUCUGACGCAGCAAUGCCGCGUGGAGGAUGACUGCUUUCGGGUUGUAAACUCCUUUUACAAGUGAAGAAAUUUGACAGUAACUUGUGAAUAAGUCACGGCUAACUACGUGCCAGCAGCCGCGGUAAUACGUAGGUGGCAAACGUUAUCCGGAAUUAUUGGGCGUAAAGGGUCUGCAGGUGGCCUUAUAAGUUGAGUGUGAAAUCCCACGGCCCAACCGUGGAAUUGUACUCAAAACUAUGAGGCUAGUGUGUGUCAGAGGUAAGCGGAAUUUUGGGAGUAGGGGUAAAAUCCGUAGAGACCCAAAGGAACACCAAUAGCGAAGGCGGCUUACUGGGACAUAACUGACACUCAGAGACGAAAGCGUGGGUAGCGAACAGGAUUAGAUACCCUGGUAGUCCACGCCCUAAACGAUGAACACUAGGUUUUAGAGGGAAUCGACCCCCUUUAGAACUAUAAGCUAACGCGUUAAGUGUUCCGCCUGAGUAGUACGAGCGCAAGCUUAAAACUCAAAGGAAUAGACGGGGGCCUACACAAGCGGUGGAGCGUGUGGCUUAAUUCGAUGAUAAACGGGUAACCUUACCUGGGUUUGACAUCCUCCGAACCUCGCAGAAACGCGAGGGUGCCUUUUUAAGGAGCGGAGUGACAGGCGCUGCAU